rnacentral:rRNA from 1 species
AGAGUUUGAUCCUGGCUCAGAAUGAACGCUGGCGGCAUGGAUUAGGCAUGCAAGUGGAACGGGCACUUCGGUGUCAGUCGCGAAAGGGUGAGUAACGCGUGAACAAUCUGCCCUCAAGUUUGGAAUAACUUCUGGAAACGGGAGCUAAUACCGGAUGUGGUCAUUUUACCGCAUUUUGAAAUGACUAAAGGUUUACUGCUUGGAGAUAGGCUCGCGUUCCAUUAUGCUAGUUGGUAAGGUAACGGCUUACCAAGGCUAUGACGGGUAGGUGGUCUGAGAGGAUGGUCACCCACACUGGAACUGAGAUACUGUCCAGACUCCUGCGGGAGGCUGCAGUCGAGAAUCUUCCGCAAUGCGCGAAAGCGUGACGGAGCAAUGCCGCGUGAUGGAUGAAGGCCUUCGGGUUGUAAAAAUCUGUCAGGGGGGAAAAACAGUGAUGGUACCCCCAGAGGAAGCCACGGCUAACUACGUGCCAGCAGCCGCGGUAAUACGUAGGUGGCGAGCGUUAUUCGGAAUCACUGGGCGUAAAGGGUCCGUAGGGGGUAAAGUCAGUCUGAUGUGAAAGCCGGGAGCUCAACUCCCGAAGUGCAUUGGAUACUGCUUUACUAGAGUGUGGGAGAGGUAAGUGGAAUUUGUGGUGUAGCGGUGGAAUGCGUAGAUAUCACAAGGAACAUCAAUGGCGAAGGCAACUUACUGGACAGAUACUGACCCUGAGGAACGAAGGCUAGGGUAGCGAAAAGGAUUAGAUACCCUUGUAGUCCUAGCUGUAAACGUUGUACACUCGAUGCUGGAACUUAGCCCCUUCGGUGUCCAAGCUAACGCGAUAAGUGUACCGCCUGGGGAGUACGGCCGCAAGGCUAAAACUCAAAGGAAUUGACGGGGGCCCGCACAAGCGGUGGAGCAUGUGGCUUAAUUCGAGGCAACGCGAAGAACCUUACCUGGGUUUGACAUUGAGUGCCGACUCCUGAAAGGGAGUUUUCCUUCGGGACAAGAAAACAGGUGCUGCAUGGCUGUCGUCAGCUCGUGCCGUGAGGUGUUCGGUUAAGUCCGUCAACGAGCGCAACCCGUACCCUUACUUGCUAACAGGUAAUGCUGAGAACCUUAAGGGGACUGCCCGUGUCAAGCGGGAGGAAGGUGCGGAUGACGUCAAGUCAGUAUGGCCCUUACGCCCAGGGCUGCACACGUGCUACAAUGGCCGGUACAAUGGGCAGCAACAUAGCGAUAUGAAGCGAAUCCACAAAACCGGCCCCAGUUCGGAUUGGAGUCUGCAACUCGACUCCAUGAAGCCGGAAUCGCUAGUAAAGGCGUAUCAGCUACGACGCCUUGAAUACGUUCCCGGGCCUUGUACACACCGCCCGU